ensembl:ncRNA F18E2.10 ncRNA
UGAUUGGAUGAAUACUUGACGUGAUGCUUUUGAUUUCUGUCCCCUUUGCAUUUUGUUGAUGAGGACGCAAUAAAUGGCGUAGAGGGUGCACGUGCCAGAGCAGAAGAUCCAAUUGUUUGUUGAUUGGACAUGGUUACGGUACUAAAUAG